GUUUGAUGAUAAUGUGCUCCCUUUAUGUGGUAAAAGCCUAACAAAUCUUUUACAUUUACGAGAAAUGUCAUACAGCAAUAAUUAUAGGAAAAACGCCUGAUAUGUUGCACUGUCUUCAAAUCAAAACAGUCAUGAUCUUGGCAUGAACAAAAGCAUGGUUCUCAAGAAUCAGGUUAACUUUGCACAAGUGUUGGGAUCAACGCAGCACCACACCACUUCUCAACGUUCCACAGUGGUCAGGACUCUGGGUCAGCUUGCAGCCCCCACUGACACACAGGGCACGAAAACCACUCUUUUCCUCAGAGCAGACAAGACAGUAGAGAGCUUACUGGAAAAUGGGGGUGAAGGGGCAUCAAGCUUCAGCCGUCAGUCUGGUUUCAGGCCGGGUGAGGGAGGAGGGCAGUUCCCAGGCCCCCGUGUGUACGUUGGGGGGCAAUAACUCACAAGCUUCCUUGGAACUUCCUCUUUCGUCCCUGUUUUUUACAACCACUGUAGACUGGAGUACAGCUGCUCAGGCUCUGCGGUGCGAAUCGAGGGAGCGUGAGAGAGGAGAAACAGGAGGAGAGACAGGACAGCAGGAGAGCUGAUGGAGAAAGGUGAAAUCACAGUGUCAAUUUGAACAGCGAGCCGGAGAAAGAGGAAGCCUGAUAUUGAGGUUCAUGUCAUACUGUGAUAAAUACUGCAACCAGAACGACAACAUAGCUACAAAACAAGCCAUCGUGUGUGAGAACGACACUCUGGUUAAAGUAUCACUAUAACAAAUGAGAAUGACUUGAAACAUAGUUCUCAUGCAAAUAAAAAAAACAUUAGAUACAAUCUAUCAACAUUGUCAAUAAUCAGUUCAGUAAAAUAAAUUGGGCCACACAAUACUUUUCCAGCAAACACUAAUAAUCUUAACUGAAUUUUAAAAGAAAUCCAAACAGCAUUUUCAGAAAAAAACAUUGAUCACUGUCAUGCUGGCGAAAGUUGCAAGAGACUUGGACUCUCUUUUAAAGCAAAUCAUUUUUGUCCAUUUUAUCACCUGCCAGGCAAUGAUUUUUAGAAAAAGUAAUUGCACCAUAUAAGGGCAAGUUAAGUUAAAUUUAAUACAAUAAAUGUAGAAAAUAUAAUAAAACUUAAAACGGUUAUAUUUUACAACAUUCAUUAAACUUUGUUCAUUUAAUUCAAAAACGUUUGAUCUUAGUUUUUUUUUAUGCGAGAUAA
rnacentral:lncRNA from 1 species